GUUGGAGUUUAGUUUUUAUAUACACAGAGUUAUCAGACGUUAUUUAUAAAACUUAGUUUAAAAAAAAAAAGACAAAAAAAAAAGCCAAGCCGCGAGCGACCGGAAGGCGCGUCCUGACGUCCUCCCUGCUAUCUCUUUUGCAAUUGUACCGAAAGUGACUUACUCCCUUGCCCCUUCCUGCUUCCGUCUCUUGCCGGUGCCGUGGUGUCGUCCGUGCCUGGUGAGGUCUUGUGCAGCGUCACGUGCUGGUGCUUCUGGUGACCUUUGACCUGUGGGUGUCACUUCUUGUGUCUGUUCUCCCGUGUUUGUUUUUUUGGAUUUGGUUGUGGUUUUGCUUCUGCUGACUUGUCAGGCCCAGGCUGUCGUGCCAGGCUGCGCCUGCUCCUGUGGAGCUUGGGGGUCUGUGCCGCCAGCCCUGCCUCUUCUGCUUUGGCACUCAACUUGAGCCCCAGAGCCGGGGUCAGGGGGGUCAGUUGCAGGGUUCUGCCAUACCCUGGGCUGACCCUCGGCUUCGCAUGUGUGUCUCAGGCUUGGGCUGGUCCAGCAGCAGUGUAGGUGAAACUGGGGGCCAUCCUGGGCGCCCCCCGGCCCCCCGCACUACUUCCUUAUCCUCGGCCUCUGGCCCUGGGUGGGGGCUCGCAGGGAUCAAGGAGUCACUGUGGGUGCCCACCAGGCCAGGGCCAAGCUGCCCCUAGCUGUCUUCCUUCUGGCCUCCAGUCACCGUGUUUGGGCUCUAGCCACCGAUCUGAGAUUUGUUUCUGUGGGUUUCAGGUGGGCCUCAGCAGGGGAAGCCCAGGGGACCCACUGCCCACUCAUCCCAGAGCUGAUUCCAUGCUGCAGGACGGUGCUUCCCAGGCAGAGCCAGGUGGUUUUGGGGCCCACCUGGAGCAGCCCCUUCUUGCCUGAAGCCCUGGGGGUUCCCACCAGUGCCAGACAAGGGCUACGGUCUCCAGGGCCAGGUCCUGUCCCUCCUCUCCCCCAAAACAUGCUGGCAGCUCUCGGCUUUGGGCCUUCUUUCACCACCCUUUGGGGUCUGUGUCUUCCAGGGAUCCGCUGCUUGGCUUGUGGAGGUGCUUCCCCAGGGCUGAGCCCACCUUCCCAUCGUGGCCACUCAGUGAGGCAGCCAGUCUCAGACUUGGCUUGGGCCGCUACUUGUAGGCACGUGAUGGGGGCUGCCUGUGGUGCCUGCCCCUCCCUCCCCCCAAGAGGCUACUCCCCUGGCUCUGGCCAUGUGGGGCUUGGCUACUACUUGGGGUCGCUGGUUGGCUUCUCUGGGGGCCUUGAAACACUAGAAAAAGCACAGAAGUGGGCUGGUGAAAAGAAAAACAAUGUGGCCUGGCAGGGUUUAACCUUGUGGACAGUAGAAUCUUCAUCCCAGAGUUUGACGCAGCAUACCCAAACUCUGGGGAACUGGGGCUGUCAACUUCUGUUGUCUUGAUGGGCUUGAUCUUGACCGUAGACACUCAGAGACAUUCCUGGCUAUACCCAGGUUGGCCUGCAAUGGAGAUUUUGACCAUUGACUCUGAAUCACUUAGUGGCUUCCUUUGGCUCCCUGCAGUCUGGCUUUGUCUACCUAAGGUCCAGAAGAGAGUGGUUGAUGUUGCUUGUAGCAGCAAGUUGGAAUCACAUAAGAAUCUCUAAAGAGAGAUCAUGCCCUGUCCUGGGCAAGGGGAGGGACAGGCUGUCUGUCCAAGUGCAGUCCCCACUUUUGUUCAGAGGUGGGGCCUCCAUCUCUGUGCACUCUUGCCAUGCUGUAGACCUGGAGAAAGGAGGUUUGAGGGUGGGCAUGUGCUGAACAGAAUUACAGGUCCUUGGUUUGGUUUAUAGACACGUCUGGAGUUAGUGAGGCUAUGCUUCCUUUUGAGGUUUUUGGAUUUGGAGCGACUCUUCCUUGGAUCUGGGGAGCAUCCUGCUCCCUUUAAGCCAGCCUCUUGGGGCUGCUCUGCCCCUCCCCCACUUCACUUUGGUUCUAGACAGUAGAUCCUGUGUCCAUAUGUGGCUGUUUGGUGUCUUUUUGAUUCUUGUUAAUUCAUUUUUCCUACUGUGAGUGUGUCGUGUUCUCUUUCUCCUCAACUUUUUGACACAGCGAAUUGAGGACUUUGGCCCAGGCCAGUUCUCCCAAACUUGUCCGCUAAGUAAACCAUAAUGUGCACCUUCCUUUACACUUUGCCCUCGCCCAUCUUCCCUUAUCCCAACAUGGACACUCAGAUUUCAGAGGCGAACCCUUUGGGAACAGGUCAGCUCCUGCCCAAAGUUAUGGCUCCAGGGAGCCCUCCCCGUGGCUCUUGGCCACUGCUCCAGGUAGCACUCACUGCAUUGGAGAAGCUGUGGCUGCUGGGUGGUAUGCUGGUUUCUGCCAGGUGCCUGGUUUCUCCAGGUCUCCCUGGAGGCUUUUCUACUCUUGGUUCAGGCUUCCAGGUCUGGGCACAACCCUGACCAUCAGCGGCAGCCUCAGUGGUCGGUGCCUGAGCCUGCAGCUCUGAUCCGCUGCAGCCUGCUUUGGGACAGAUGGUCAAGCCCCAUGGUGUCAACUGCUGCUUCCUUCUCUGGAGUGGCUGGUUGGCCAAAGCUUCCGUCCACAGCUGGGAAGCCACAGCCUGCAGCACUGUUUCCGCUCUAGGAUCUUGUUUUUGCCUUCCAGUUAGCUGUCUGGUUUUGAAGCUGAUGGGAAGAGGCAAGGGUGUGCCCUGGAGACUGGUAACUUGUCUUGCUCUGGUCUGUGUCCUGAGCAUGUGCUAUACUUGUUGGACCAGUCACACACAUUUCCACCCCACCCUGGAGCAGCAGCCUUGGUACGUGGGUGUUAGGAGAGCUGUCCCUAGUGACCUGUGAAGGGGGACCCCUCUAACAACCUUGUGUCCCAGCCCCACCCUCUCCACAUCCCCUCAAACUGCUAGUCCCUGAAGCCUUUAACCAAACGGGAUUGGGUACAGAAAACCUUCUCCUGGCAUCUUAGGGCAGCAGGAUAAGGGCUGUCCAGUGUGUCCGGCUCUGCUGCUCUCCUGGCGCUGAGAAGGUGGGCCGAGCAGAGUUGAUCAGAUCCUACCUGCCCUGCCUAAGGCUAAAGACAGGAAGUGG
ensembl:lncRNA